rnacentral:sRNA from 1 species
AUUCUGCCCAUGCGGGGAAGGAUGUGAAGCUUCUACCCAUGUUAGACUUGUGCGCCAGCGUUAGCGCGUGGGCUCUUGCAUCGAAACGAUGGGCGAUGGUCGCAGCUCUGUGUAAUCCUUCCCCCACCACCA